UGGGGAAUAUUACACAAUGGGGGAAACCCUGAUGCAGCGACGCCGCGUGAACGAAGAAGGUAUUCGUAUCGUAAAGUUCUGUCCUAUGGGAAGAUAAUGACAGUACCAUAGAAGAAAGCUCCGGCUAAAUACGUGCCAGCAGCCGCGGUAAUACGUAUGGAGCGAGCGUUGUCCGGAAUUAUUGGGCGUAAAGGGUACGCAGGCGGUUUAAUAAGUCGAAUGUUAAAGAUCGGGGCUCAACCCCGCAAAGCAUUGGAAACUGAUAAACUUGAGUAGUGGAGAGGAAAGUGGAAUUCCUAGUGUAGUGGUGAAAUACGUAGAUAUUAGGAGGAAUACCAGUAGCGAAGGCGACUUUCUGGACACAAACUGACGCUGAGGUACGAAAGCGUGGGGAGCAAACAGG
rnacentral:rRNA from 1 species